rnacentral:rRNA from 1 species
UAUGCACGCUGGCGGCGUGCCUAAUACAUGCAAGUCGAGCGAACGGACGAGAAGCUUGCUUCUCUGAUGUUAGCGGCGGACGGGUGAGUAACACGUGGAUAACCUACCUAUAAGACUGGGAUAACUUCGGGAAACCGUAGCUAAUACCGGAUAAUAUUUUGAACCGCAUGGUUCAAAAGUGAAAGACGGUCUUGCUGUCACUUAUAGAUGGAUCCGCGCUGCAUUAGCUAGUUGGUAAGGUAACGGCUUACCAAGGCAACGAUGCAUAGCCGACCUGAGAGGGUGAUCGGCCACACUGGAACUGAGACACGGUCCAGACUCCUACGGGAGGCAGCAGUAGGGAAUCUUCCGCAAUGGGCGAAAGCCUGACGUAGCAACGCCGCGUGAGUGAUGAAGGUCUUCGGAUCGUAAAACUCUGUUAUUAGGGAAGAACAUAUGUGUAAGUAACUGUGCACAUCUUGACGGUACCUAAUCAGAAAGUCACGGCUAACUACGUG